rnacentral:piRNA from 1 species
UAUAUGGAUGUUCUCCUCCCCAUCC